rnacentral:rRNA from 1 species
GAUGAACGCUGGCGGCGUGCCUAAUACAUGCAAGUCGAACGAUGAAGCCCAGCUUGUUGGGUGGAUUCGUGGGCAACGGGCGAGUGAGUCACGAGUAACCUGCCUUCCACUCUGGGAUGAGCAUGGGCAAGAGAGUCUAACUAAGACCAGGUGAGCAUUUCGAACGGAGGGUGUUGGAAUGAAUGAUCGGUUUUGGAUGGACUCGCGGCCUAUCAGCUUGUUGGUGAGGUAAUGGCUCACCAAGGCGACGCCGGGUAGCCGGCCUGAGAGGGUGACCGGCCACACUGGGCCUGAGGCACGGCCCAGACGCCUACGUGAGGCAGCAGUGGAAAAUAUUGCGCAAUGGGCGAAAGCCUGAUACAACGACGUCGCGUGAGGAAUGACUGCCUUCAGGGUGUAAACCUCUUUCAAUAGGAAAGAAGCGAAAGUGACGGUACCUGCAGAGAAAGCACCGGCUAACUACGUG